rnacentral:rRNA from 1 species
CGUGUAGGCGGCCAAACAGGUCCGUUGUGAAAACUGGAGGCUCAACCUCCAGACGUCGACGGAAACCGUGUGGCUAGAGUCCGGAAGAGGAGAGUGGAAUUCCUGGUGUAGCGGUGAAAUGCGCAGAUAUCAGGAAGAACACCAAUGGCGAAGGCAGCUCUCUGGGACGGUACUGACGCUGAGACGCGAAAGCGUGGGGAGCGAACAGGAUUAGAUACCCUGGUAGUCCACGCCGUAAACGAUGGGUGCUAGGUGUGGGAGGUGUCGACUCCUUCCGUGCCGUAGCUAACGCAUUAAGCACCCCGCCUGGGGAGUACGGCCGCAAGGCUAAA